rnacentral:rRNA from 1 species
GAGUUUGAUCGUGGCUCAGGACGAACGCUGGCGGCGUGCUUAACACAUGCAAGUCGAACGAGAAUCUACUGAAAGAGUUUUCGGACAAUGGAAGUAGAGGAAAGUGGCGGACGGGUGAGUAACGCGUGAGGAACCUGCCUUGAAGAGGGGACAACAGUUGGAAACGACUGCUAAUACCGCAUGAUGCAUAAGGGUCGCAUGAUUCUUAUGCCAAAGAUUUAUCGCUUCAAGAUGGCCUCGCGUCUGAUUAGCUAGUUGGCGGGGUAACGGCCCACCAAGGCGACGAUCAGUAGCCGGACUGAGAGGUUGAACGGCCACAUUGGGACUGAGAUACGGCCCAGACUCCUACGGGAGGCAGCAGUGGGGAAUAUUGGGCAAUGGGCGCAAGCCUGACCCAGCAACGCCGCGUGAAGGAAGAAGGCUUUCGGUAUGUAAACUUCUAUCAGCAGGGAAGAAAA